UACGGAGGGUGCGAGCGUUGUCCGGAAUCACUGGGCGUAAAGGGCGCGUAGGCGGUCUGCUAAGCGUGCGGUGAAAGCCUGGGGCUCAACCCCAGGUCUGCCGUGCGAACUGGUGGACUAGAGCACUGUAGAGGCAGGUGGAAUUUCGGGUGUAGCGGUGGAAUGCGUAGAGAUCCGAAAGAACACCGGUGGCGAAGGCGGCCUGCUGGGCAGUUGCUGACGCUGAGGCGCGAAAGCAUGGGGAGCGAACAGG
rnacentral:rRNA from 1 species